UACGAAGGGGGCUAGCGUUGUUCGGAAUUACUGGGCGUAAAGCGCACGUAGGCGGAUUUGUUAGUCAGGGGUGAAAUCCCGGGGCUCAACCUCGGAACUGCCUUUGAUACUGCAAGUCUCGAGUCCGAUAGAGGUGGGUGGAAUUCCUAGUGUAGAGGUGAAAUUCGUAGAUAUUAGGAAGAACACCGGUGGCGAAGGCGGCCCACUGGAUCGGUACUGACGCUGAGGUGCGAAAGCGUGGGGAGCAAACAGG
rnacentral:rRNA from 1 species